UAUACCCCAAUGGUAAAUUAAUUUAGACAUUAGGGUUUAAAGUUAAGGGGUGGAGUUUAGAAUUUAGGGUUUAGGGUUUAGUGUUUAGAGUUUAGGGUUUAGAGUUUAGGGGUGGGGUUUAGGGUUUAGAGUUAAGGGGUGGAGUUUAGGAUUUAGGGUUUAGGGUUUAGGGCUUAGGGUUUACGGUUUAGAGUUUACGGUUUAGAGUUUAGGUUUUAGGGUUUAGAGUUAGGGAGUGGGGUUUUGGGAUAAGAUUUCAAAUUUUGAAAAAUAAAAAAAAAUUAAAUUUUUCA
rnacentral:lncRNA from 1 species